rnacentral:rRNA from 1 species
GACGAACGCUGGCGGCGUGCCUAAUACAUGCAAGUCGAGCGAAGUUUUUCUGGUGCUUGCACUAGAAAAACUUAGCGGCGAACGGGUGAGUAACACGUAAAGAACCUGCCUUAUAGACUGGGACAACUAUUGGAAACGAUAGCUAAUACCGGAUAACAGCAUUAACUGCAUGGUUGAUGUUUAAAAGUUGGUUUUGCUAACACUAUGAGAUGGCUUUGCGGUGCAUUAGCUAGUUGGUGGGGUAAAGGCCUACCAAGGCGACGAUGCAUAGCCGACCUGAGAGGGUGAUCGGCCACACUGGGACUGAGACACGGCCCAGACUCCUACGGGAGGCAGCAGUAGGGAAUCUUCCGCAAUGGGCGAAAGCCUGACGGAGCAACGCCGCGUGAGUGAAGAAGGAUUUCGGUUCGUAAAGCUCUGUUGUUAGGGAAGAAUGAUUGUGUAGUAACUAUACACA